GGAUUGUUAGCCAAAUGGUUUAAGGCACCGGACUUUUAAUCCGGGGAUUGAAGGUUCGAGUCCUUCACAGUCCA
rnacentral:tRNA from 1 species